CUGCUAAAUGCAAACUUUCCACUUCAUCACUCCCAUUAAAAAGCACGUACUCAGGGAUCCACAUUUAACAAAAUAAUUUUAAUGCUUCCACCGGACAUUCUGACAUGAAACUGGCUUUUUCUUAUGAUUUACAAUACAAAUGUGUGGCAAUGAAAAAUGAGUAGUUUAUGCUUCUUUUAUUUUUACUAAGGUGCCUGCAGUUUUACCUGCUAUUGCCUUUUAACAGUACAAGUGUCAACAUACAGUUGUUCAGGACAAAUUACAAGAUUAAAAAGUCAUUCCACAUUUUGACAAUUUCAGGACACGUCUUUAUUGCCAAGCAUUCACAUGGAGUAUCUUUGAUUAGUUGAUGCCUAGAAAAUGCAAGUACAGUAACGAGUCCAGCCAUUUUUUUCUAUUCAUUCGUGAGGUGUAAUACACUCAACUUCAUGUCUAUAAACAAAUUUCCAACAUGACAAGUUGCUGUGAUAUUUAAAACAGGAACUACUCUAUUUCUUCCUUUCAUCUGGCAGAUAUUUCAGCAGUAUGAUCUGUAUGGCUUUCUGGUUGCUCAGCUAUCAUCUGUGCUUCUACCAAUACAAUGAAGUAAUUUACCCUUUAAAAUACAUAGGUAGUUUAUCAUUUGUGGUUUGAAACCUCUUUUUUUUUCCUUUUAAGGAGCAUCACACAGGUGCAUUUAAAACAUUCAAUACCUUAAAAAAAGCUACAGAUAACACUGAUUGGUUUCAAAAUGACUUCACAACAUAGGUGGCAUCAGCCCUAUUCAAAAUAUUCCACUGCAUAAGACGGACUACGUUAGAGUAUCUCUAAAGCCAAACAAAACACAGCUUUCACAUUUUCAUUUGUUAGUUUCUUUUGUCAGUUUUUCCCUCCAAGUGAAUCUUGUAUAGCAUUCUUAAAGAUGAUAUAAGCUGUAGCUUAAAUAGCUUGUUUUUCAAUCCAAUAAACCAUUCUUAACAUUUCUUUCAAAACUAAAAUGUUGUACUUUUAACAUUUGUAAAUUUGAGAAAAAUAACACAUUCUUUUUUUAUUUUAGGUACACAAUAUAAUGACAUUUAUCAUUGGAAAUUUGCACCUUUUCAUAAUCCAUCUUGGUUCUUAUUUUUUUC
rnacentral:lncRNA from 1 species